rnacentral:rRNA from 1 species
UACGGAGGAUGCAAGCGUUAUCCGGAUUUAUUGGGUUUAAAGGGUGCGUAGGCGGGACCAUAAGUCAGUGGUGAAAGACUGUCGCUUAACGAUAGCAUUGCCAUUGAUACUGUUGUUCUUGAGUAUAGUUGAGGUGGGCGGAAUGUGUAGUGUAGCGGUGAAAUGCUUAGAGAUUACACAGAACACCGAUUGCGAAGGCAGCUCACUAAACUAUAACUGACGCUGAGGCACGAAAGCGUGGGGAUCAAACAGGAUUAGAUACCCUGGUAGUCCACGCCGUAAACGAUGAUUACUCGAUGUGUGCAAUAUAUCGUACGCGUCUGAGCGAAAGCAUUAAGUAAUCCACCUGGGGAGUACGUCGGCAACGAUGAA